ensembl:rRNA 5S_rRNA 5S ribosomal RNA
GUCUGCGGCCAUACCACCUUGAACACGCCCGAUCUCGUCUGGUCUCAGAAGCUAAGCAGGGUCGAGUCUGGUUAGUACUUGGAUGGGAGACCUCCUGGGAAAAUUAAGAGUGCACAAG